GGUCCAACUUCGGUUGGGUAGUGGCGAACGGGUGAGUAACGCGUAGGUGAUCUGCCGAUGGGAGGGGGAUAACCUCGAGAAAUCGAGGCUAAUACUGCAUAUGCUCUUUGGGUCGACUGGAGAGUGAAAGCUUCGUAAGGAGUGCCUAUUGAGGAGCCUGCGUCCGAUUAGCUAGUUGGUGGGGUAAAGGCCUACCAAGGCAGAGAUCGGUAGCUGGUCUGAGAGGAUGGUCAGCCACACUGGGACUGAGAUACGGCCCAGACUCCUACGGGAGGCAGCAGCAAGGAAUCUUGCGCAAUGGGCGAAAGCCUGACGCAGCAACGCCGCGUGAGUGAAGAAGGCCUUUGGGUAGUAAAGCUCUUUUGUCAGGGAAGAGAAUGGACGGUACCUGACGAAUAAGCCUCGGCUAACUACGUGCCAGCAGCCGCGGUAAAACGUAGGAGGCGAGCGUUAUCCGGAAUUACUGGGCGUAAAGGGCUCGUAGGCGGCAGGCCAAGUCAUGUGUGAAAUCUCCUGGCUCAACUGGGAGGGGGCAUGUGAAACUGGUCAGCUUGAGUGCAGCAGGGGGAAGUGGAAUUCCCGGUGUAGUGGUGACAUGCGUAGAUAUCGGGAAGAACACCAGUGGCGAAGGCGGCUUCCUGGGCUGCAACUGACGCUGAGGAGCGAAAGCGUGGGUAGCGAACCGAAUUAGAUACUCGGGUAGUCCACGCCGUAAACGAUGGAUACUAGGUAUGGGGGGUAUCGACCCCUUCCGUG
rnacentral:rRNA from 1 species